AUUGAACGCUGGCGGCAGGCCUAACACAUGCAAGUCGAGCGGUAGAGCGAAGCCUGCUUCUCUUGAGAGCGGCGGACGGGUGAGUAAUGCCCAGGAAUCUGCCUGGUCGUGGGGGAUAACGUUCGGAAACGGACGCUAAUACCGCAUACGGCCUACGGGAGAAAGCAGGGGACCUUCGGGCCUUGCGCUAUCAGAUGAGCCUAGGUCGGAUUAGCUAGUUGGUGGGGUAAUGGCUCACCAAGGCGGCGAUCCGUAACUGGUCUGAGAGGAUGAUCAGUCACACUGGAACUGAGACACGGUCCAGACCCCGACGGAAGGCAGCGUUGGGGAAUAUUGGACAAUGGGCGAAAGCCUGAGCCAGCCAUGCCGCGUGGGUGAAGAAGGUCUUCGGAUUGUAAAGCACUUUAAGUUGGGAGGAAGGGCAGUAAAUUAACACUUUGCUGUUUGGACGUGACCGACAGAAUAGGCACCGGCAAACUCGGG
rnacentral:rRNA from 1 species